rnacentral:rRNA from 1 species
GACGAACGCUGGCGGCGUGCUUAACACAUGCAAGUCGAACGGAAAGGCCCUGCUUUUGUGGGGUGCUCGAGUGGCGAACGGGUGAGUAACACGUGAGUAACCUGCCCUUGACUUUGGGAUAACUUCAGGAAACUGGGGCUAAUACCGGAUAGGAGCGCCUGCUGCAUGGGGGGGGUUGGACAGUUUAGGCGGUUGGGGAUGGACUCGCGGCUUAUCAGCUUGUUGGUUGGGUAGUGGCUUACCAAGGCUUUGACGGGUAGCCGGCAUGAGAGGGUGACCGGCCACAUUGGGACUGAGAGACGGACCAGACUCCUACGUGAGGCAGCAGUGGGGAAUAUUGCACAGUGGUGGGAAGCCUGAUGCAGCAGCGCCGCGUUCGUGAUGACGGCCUUCUGGGUGUAAACCGCUUUCGCCUGAUACGAAGCGUGAUUGACGGUAAUGGGUAAAGAAGCACCGGCUAACUACGUG